rnacentral:lncRNA from 12 species
ACAGACAGGGAAAAUAAUUAAUUGUCACUGGAGCACAGAGGACUGUCAGAGUGAGAAUUGUGUAUUUGCUUGUUCAGUAUCUGUUUGUCUUGGAUCUUUAUCUCUAUUUCAGGCCAGAUGUUCCUCUCACAAACGUGGCAGCACAAAAAGCUGCACCUGACUGAUCCUGGGCAGGGAGGGGGACGUGCUGCCUGCAGGCUAUUCCUGGCUGCUUGCUGUGGGAUCUCUGGGAGGUGCAGCAGUGCACCACCAGUACCAAUAAACCUCCCCCCAGAGAAGUUUGGCUGCCAGCAAUGAACAUCACCAAGUCCCUGGUGCACUGAUUGAGAUGCAGGUCAGAAACUGAGGCUACUUAACA